rnacentral:antisense_RNA from 17 species
UAUGGGCGGGCCGUGUGGGGCUGCGCAAGCAGCGCCGGUUCCUAAUCCCGGUACGCCAACCUGCACGGUUCCGCCCACCCUG